rnacentral:rRNA from 1 species
AUGAACCAAACGUGGAGUUAAGGGGCCUAAACGAAUGCUCAUCUAGACCCCAUCGAAAGGCGUUGGUUGCUAUAGACAGCAGGACGGUGGCCAUGGAAGUUGGAAUCCGCUAAGGAGUGUGUAACAACUCACCUGCCGAAGCAACUAGCCCUUAAAAUGGUAUGGCGCUCAAGCAUUCUCCCGAUACUCGACCGCCGGUGGCACUAAAGGCCAAGCUUCCCUCUUAGCGGGGGGAAGCCCAGGUCUCCAAGCCCCGGCGAGUAGGAGGGUCGCAGGGGUGAGCGCUGAAGGGAUCCGGCGUGAGCCGGCCUGGAGCCGCCCCUGGUGCAGAUCUUGGUGGUAGUAGCAAAUAGUCGAGAGAGACUUCCCUUGAAGGCCGAUGUGGAGAAGGGUUCCA